UACGUAGGGGGCAAGCGUUGUCUGGAUUUAUUGGGCGUAAAGAGCGUGUAGGCGGCCUGGAAGGUCAGCUGUGAAAACUCGAGGCUCAACCUCGAGACGUCGGUUGAAACCACCUGGCUAGAGUCCGGAAGAGGAGAGUGGAAUUCCCGGUGUAGCGGUGAAAUGCGCAGAUAUCGGGAAGAACACCCGUGGCGAAGGCGGCUCUCUGGGACGGUACUGACGCUGAGACGCGAAAGCGUGGGGAGCGAACGAGG
rnacentral:rRNA from 1 species